GCAGACAUACAGUCCGUCCUUCCCCGCCGGGUGGGGGCGCUCCUCGGGGCUGGGGAAGGAUCCGCGACUCCACCACAUGAUUCCCGCCUUCUGCCCGGAGACACCGCCAACCAAUAGCCGCGCGCUCCCUGAGGCCAGGCCCCGCCCCCCGCUACAUCUCCGCUUUCAAAUCGGCCGUGUGAGAAAUAAAGGCGGGAAGGGAUCAUGUGACGUGAAGCUCGAGGUCCUGUCAGUCAUGGUAUCGUCCGCCUGCCCUCAUACAUGGGAGAUUAGCAUUUCAAAGCAGGUAGAGAUGAAGCAGCUGCGGAUGGAAGAUGGAGGCUAAACCUUCCCUUGAUCACAUGAGGACCACGGCUCACAGUUGUGUCAGGAAAAGAAAGAUGAAGUAAGGAAAGGCUCCCUAUGUAGAUUAACCCUGAGAUGUCUGCUCACACCUACAGGAAGAAUGCUUUAUCAUCUAUAGCUGCGACAUCUCCAGGGCUGCGCAAUACUAUCCUGCGACAUAGUUGUCUCUGAGGAACCUUCACCCUCCGUUGAGCCAGCAUUGGAGAUGGCCGCACAGGUUCAGGAAAGAUCAAUCACAGAAAGACAAAAAGCUGACAACAGCUGAUCCUCAGAAAACUGGAGAAAGUAGCAACUAAAUCAUCCAGUGCAAUAAGAAACAGCAGGAUUUCUAUGUCUCGUAGAUUGGAGGGUUCCCUUUUGUAUACUCAGAACAUACAAUGUUUUUAAUAAACUUUGAGACCAAAUGCCUCUGAAACCACCCGGAACUUGGUAAACAGCGCGUCUCAUCCAUUAGCAGUGGUGAUUACAGUCAAACGUAUGUCUUCACCUUCAGCUGGUGUGCUCUGUAAAUGACACUUUCUGAAGAUGGACGAGGACUUCAUAUAGACAAGCGGCAGCUGCCCCCAGUUUCCUAAUAAACUUCCACUGGAAGUAACUUGCAUUUUAUAGUCAUUCUGUUUCUGUAAUAAACUUU